rnacentral:rRNA from 1 species
CUACGGGUCGCAGCAGUGGGGAAUAUUGCACAAUGGGUGCAAGCCUGAUGCAGCCAUGCCGCGUGUAUGAAGAAGGCCUUCGGGUUGUAAAGUACUUUCAGCGGGGAGGAAGGGAGUAAAGUUAAUACCUUUGCUCAUUGACGUUACCCGCAGAAGAAGCACCGGCUAACUCCGUGCCAGCAGCCGCGGUAAUACGGAGGGUGCAAGCGUUAAUCGGAAUUACUGGGCGUAAAGCGCACGCAGGCGGUUUGUUAAGUCAGAUGUGAAAUCCCCGGGCUCAACCUGGGAACUGCAUCUGAUACUGGCAAGCUUGAGUCUCGUAGAGGGGGGUAGAAGUCCAGGUGUAGCGGUGAAAUGCGUAGAGAUCUGGAGGAAUACCGGUGGCGAAGGCGGCCCCCUGGACGAAGACUGACGCUCAGGUGCGAAAGCGUGGGGAGCAAACAGGAUUAGAUACCCUCGUAGUC